rnacentral:tRNA from 1 species
GGAGAUAUGGCUCAGUAGUAGAGCACUUAGCUAGCAUUCAUGAGUCCCUGGGUUCAAUCCCCAGUACUACA